rnacentral:rRNA from 1 species
GUCUGCUUGAAGAUAUAAGGAGUCUAGCCUGCUCUCUGAUUAGUUUAAGGGCCGCGGUAAUUUGACCGUGCAAAGGUAGCAUAAUAGUUAGUUUUUUAAUUGGAAUCUUGUAUGAAUGGUUGGACAAAAGAAAUACUGUCUCUGUAAUUGUUAUUGAAUUUAACUUUUGAGUGAAAAGGCUUAAAUUGUUUAAAAAGACGAUAAGACCCUAUAAAUCUUUAUAAAUAAAUUCUGUUUAAUUAAAUUAAAAGUAAAGGUUCAGUAGUUUUUUUUAUUUUAUUGGGGAGACAAAUAUUAUAAUUUAUAGUAACUGUGAGUAAAAAAAACAAAUAUAAAUGUUUUAAUAAGUAAAUGAUCCUAUUUAAAGAUUAAAAGUUUAAGUUACUUUAGGGAUAACAGCGUUAUUUUUCUUGAGAGUUCAUAUCGAAAGAAAAGAUUGCGACCUCGAUGUUGAAUUAAAAUUUCUAGGUGAUUGUAGAAGUUGCCUUAGAAGGUCUGUUCGACCUUUAAAUUUUUACAUGAUUUGAGUUCAGACCGGCGUGAGCCAGGUUGGUUUCUAUCUUUUAAUAAGGUGAAAAUUAUUUUAGUACGAAAGGAUUGAAUAAUUGAAUUUUUUUUUAUAUUGGCAAGCUAUUUUGGCAGAGGAUAUGCGUUGGA